rnacentral:rRNA from 1 species
AUUGAACGCUGGCGGAAUGCUUUACACAUGCAAGUCGAACGGCAGCACGGGGGCAACCCUGGUGGCGAGUGGCGAACGGGUGAGUAAUACAUCGGAACGUGCCCAGUCGUGGGGGAUAACGUAGCGAAAGCUACGCUAAUACCGCAUACGAUCUCUGGAUGAAAGCGGGGGACCGCAAGGCCUCGCGCGAUUGGAGCGGCCGAUGGCAGAGUAGGUAGUUGGUGGGGUAAAGGCUCACCAAGCCGACGAUCUGUAGCUGGUCUGAGAGGACGACCAGCCACACUGGGACUGAGACACGGCCCAGACUCCUACGGGAGGCAGCAGUGGGGAAUUUUGGACAAUGGGCGCAAGCCUGAUCCAGCCAUUCCGCGUGCAGGAUGAAGGCCCUCGGGUUGUAAACUGCUUUUGUACGGAACGAAACGGUGCUCUCUAAUACAGGGCGCUAAUGACGGUACCGUAAGAAUAAGCACCGGCUAACUACGUGCCAGCCGCCGCAGUAA